rnacentral:rRNA from 1 species
CGUACACUCCUACGGGAGGCAGCAGUGGGGAAUAUUGGACAAUGGGCGCAAGCCUGAUCCAGCCAUGCCGCGUGAGUGAUGAAGGCCCUAGGGUUGUAAAGCUCUUUCACCGGUGAAGAUAAUGACGGUAACCGGAGAAGAAGCCCCGACUAACUUCGUGCCAGCAGCCGCGGUAAUACGAAGGGGGCUAGCGUUGUUCGGAUUUACUGGGCGUAAAGCGCACGUAGGCGGACUAUUAAGUCAGGGGUGAAAUCCCGGGGCUCAACCCCGGAACUGCCUUUGAUACUGGUAGUCUUGAGUUCGAGAGAGGUGAGUGGAAUUCCGAGUGUAGAGGUGAAAUUCGUAGAUAUUCGGAGGAACACCAGUGGCGAAGGCGGCUCACUGGCUCGAUACUGACGCUGAGGUGCGAAAGCGUGGGGAGCAAACAGGAUUAGAUACCCCGGUAGUCC